UUUAAUUUACCAAGUAUUUUUCAAUGCUUAUCAGUUCCCCAGCCUUCUGAAACCACUUGAAUUACUUUUUUCAAGAUAGCAUGGAACCAGUAUAUUAGCUAAUUGCAAAAAUCACCAAAAUCCAGAAUCAAUGAACUUAUUUCCUCUGCUGGCAUAGUCAAGUUCUCUUUGAUGUCUCCUUAAGCGCUAACACCCCUCAAAACCUUAGGUUACCACAAUCCUCCUCAGCUAGUGUCUUUAGUCAUGUCGAGUCCCGGAUUCAUCCAUCACCUCUGCGCUCACUGACCUGGUUAAGAAAAUCGUGGCUGUGAUGCAGAGCCUCUGUGUGAGUCUAGGAGUCUUUGUUAUAUCCUGCUGUAUACAUCGCAUUGUCAACUGGUGCAGACCACAGCUUGUGCAAUGUGCACAGUUCUAUAGAUGUGACAAGCUCUCAUACCUCAAUCAAGCAAUCCUUCACUUACUAGGU